UACGGGGGGAGCAAGCGUUGUUCGGAUUUACUGGGCGUAAAGGGCGCGUAGGCGGUCAGCACAAGUCAGUUGUGAAAUCUCCGGGCUUAACCCGGAAAGGUCAACUGAUACUGUGCGACUAGAGUGCGGAAGGGGCAACUGGAAUUCUCGGUGUAGCGGUGAAAUGCGUAGAUAUCUGGAGGAACACCGGUGGCGAAGGCGGCAUCCUGGACCGACACUGACGCUGAGGAGCGAAAGCCAGGGGAGCAAACGGG
rnacentral:rRNA from 1 species